GUUCAUAUUACAGAAGAGGAGAAAUCACCCCAUUGGAGAGUAGCUGGAACUCAUUGUCUCGGAGACUUUGCUAACUCCCCUGACAGCUGGGGUGGACAUCACCUGCCUUCUCUCCUUGAAAGCAGCAACUUCUCAAUCCCUAGGGUACAUAAACGAGAGAACUCACUAUGCAGGUAGAAGAGAGAAUAAAAUCCUGCAAGGAAAAUGAUUCCAAGGAUAUCAGAAGUGCCCUCUCAGAAACAAGUGCAAGCCAAGUAAUUGUGAUUUUCAUUUUUUAUAAUUAUGCACAAAUAAUCUCUAAUUGACAAUUCUUGUAACUGCACCUAUGGUGUAAGAGGGUGUGUGCUUGAAAAAGAAUCACAUGAACAGAAAAAAGCCCUGGGAAUAAACACUUUCAAGGUUCCUGUAUAUAACAUAACUCAAAUAUAAGCUUUGAUUAAUUAAAGAUGUACUUUGUAAACCUUAGGGCAAUGACUAAAACUUAAAAAGAACUUUAAGUAAUGAGCCAAUCGUGGAGAUAAAAUGGAAUCACAAAAACACCUAGUCCAAAAUCAGGCAGAAGAAGGAGGGGUAAAGAAUACAGAACAAAUGGGACAUGAAGAAACUCAUGAGCAAAAUGUUGGCUCUUACUGUAAAUCUAUGGAUAAUGACAUUAAAUAUAAAUGGUCUAAACACAAUGAUUAAAAGACAAAGACCGUCAGACUGAAGGAACAAGUGAAUGGGUUUCGGUUGGGACUGUGUGCUCUUUGCAAAGGUCGAUGCUAAACACUAAAACAAAAAAAUGGAACAUGAACGCUACUCUAAAGAAAGCUGAGGCGGCCACAUUAAUAUCUGAAAUGGACUUCAGAGCAAGCAAUAUGUCCAGGAAUAAAGAGAGGCAUUACGUUAUAUUAAUGGAUGUGAUUCAACCAAAGGACCUAAUAAUGCAGAGGGUACAGUGCUUCGAAAUAAUCAAAGCAAAAGUUGGCAGAAUAAAAUUUAAAUAGACAAAGCCACAACUCAGAGAUAUGAGCAUUCUCAGUAACUAAGAGAACAAACAUAUCAAUUGGAAUAUAUAGAAUCCUUUUGACCUUGAAUUAGGCAAAGACUGCUUAAAUGGGACACCAAAAACACAAUCAUUAAGAGAAAAGAUCAAUCAACUAGCUUCAUUAAAAUUUAAAAUCUAUGCUCCUCCAAAGAUGCUAUGGGAGAAAAUGUCUGUAAAACAAAACCUGAUAAAGAGCUUGCAGCCAUAAUAUACAAAGUACCCUCAAAGGUCAAUAAUAAGAAAAUAAACAACCAAUAAAAUAUGAGCAGAAUGUUUGAAAAACACAUUUCACCAAUAAUAAGAAGAGCAAUCAAACACAAAUAAGAAUAUUCACCACUGUCAGGAGUGAAGUUAAAAAUCUUAACAAAAUACCCGCUGCCCAUCUACCAAAAUCAAACAAAACAAAAUGAUAAUAUCAAGUGCCGAUGAAGAUACAAAACAGCUAUGACAUUUAUCCACAGCCUAGAAAGAAUGAAAAACGUUCAAACCACAUUUUAAAAUGAGUUUGCAGUGCAAUCACUAAACUGCCUAGAAAUUCCAAGAGAAAUGAAAACACAUUGAUGUUAAAAACAUGUUUGUGAAUGUUCACAGCACGUUUACUGUACCA
rnacentral:lncRNA from 1 species